AGCCCCCAAACGAAGCAGGGCAGAGCGGCAGGGCCCGGCCAUAUUGGGUUUUCCUCCUUUUUUCCCCCUCCUUUCGAUGAUUCUUGGCUUGAUUUCGGCGGGGCGGCGCUGGGUUUUCCGUUCCAUUUUGGCGCUGGGGUUGGGGUCGGCCAUCACUCGCCGCACUCCUCCUCCUCGCCGUCCACUGACAGCGCUGCAUACUUGCUGGCGUGGCUGAAGGGGGCUGGGCUGUCCUCCAGUCUCUUUGGCUCAGGCGCAGCUCUCGCCUCGUGCUCCUUGCGGCUGUCUUUCCUCUCCGCUGAGCUCCCACUGCGCGCCUUUGGGCCAUCCCGGCCCCCAUCUGGCUUGUUCUCAUCCCCUCUCCGGUGGGUGCUCCUCGGGGCAGCCCCGUUCUCUGCAGGCGGGCGGGAAGCCAUCUGGCUGCUGGGUGAGUGCUGCUCAGAGUCAGAGCCCGGGGAGCGCCCGGCGGUGCUGCUGCUGCGCUUGGCCCACGCGUUCUCCUUGGGGGGCGGCGCGGGCAUCACCUUCAGCGGCUGCUUCUCCUCACGGCCCUCCUCCUCACGGCCACACGCAUCGCCCUCCACUGACUUCUCACUCUCCCUCCUCCGCGUGGUCCUGCCGGUGGGGCCGGUGCCAGCGGUGGUGCCGGGGGGUCCGGCGGCUCCGCUCUGCGAAGACUCACUGCCCGUCCGCGACCGCUCGGGGUUGUCCUCACUGCGGCUGCUGGGGUACCGCUCCCGUGGCCGCCGCUCCAGCCUCUUGUCGUCCUCCAGUUGCCGCUGCAACUUCUCCUGUUCCUUCUGCAGCCUCUCCUCCACCUCGCGCUCGCGGGCGGCCGUGUCCACGGGUUUGGCCCCCCCGAAGAUGGAGGCGGCGCGGCUGGACUGCGGCGCGGGGGCUGCUGUGCUCUCCUCCUCCUUCGGAGCGCUGCGCGGCUUCAGGUUCAGCUUAGGGCGCUGCGUGGGGCCUGGGGGGUGGCACGUGGGGCUGGGGGGUGUCCCGCAUCCCCACAUCCCGUACACAAUGCAUCCCACCCACGUGCCCCAUCCUGUGCCUGCCACCUGCUUCCUGCACCCCACAUAUCCUGAAUCCCAC
rnacentral:lncRNA from 1 species